GGGUCCCAGUUCCGAACCCGU
rnacentral:snRNA from 1 species